CUGCAGAUGCCCUAGAGAGACUGCAAUCAUCACCGAAGGCAGAGGACUUCAGCUACAGGAGCCAUGUAGAGUAAUGUCAAGGGAUAGUCAGCCAAUCUUUAACUUAAAGCUCAAAUUUGAUUAGGGCUUUAUUUGUUGAUCGAACCUGUGCUGAAAUGAAAAACCAUGGCUGUCUUAAUGAACCUGAAAUCUCCAAUGGAAUUCCCUCAGAUUUGUUUAAAAGUGCCCAAGACUUGCUCAGCUUCAUCAAACUUUUCAGCACUUGAAUUAUUUACAGCACUGAAGUCCUGCUAGAAGAUUACUCUGAGAUGGCCAGCUUUGUCCUAGUUGCUUACUGAGAUACUGUAUAGCAAGUUACCAAAUAAAGAGCACAACAACGUUCUAGAAGAA